rnacentral:rRNA from 1 species
GACGAACGCUGGCGGCGUGCUUAACACAUGCAAGUCGAACGGAAAGGCCCUUCGGGGUACUCGAGUGGCGAACGGGUGAGUAACACGGGGGUGAUCUGCCCUGCACUUUGGGAUAAGCCUGGGAAACUGGGUCUAAUACCGAAUAGGACCACGCGCUACAUGGUGUGUGGUGGAAAGCUUUUGCGGCGUGGGAUGGGCCCGCGGCCUAUCAGCUUGUUGGUGGGGUAAUGGCCGACCAAGGCGAGGACGGGUAGCCGGCCUGAGAGGGUGACCGGCCACACUGGGCCUGCGAUACGGCCCAGACUCCUACGGGAGGCAGCAGUGGGGAAUAUUGCACAAUGGGCGCAAGCCUGAUGCAGCGACGCCGCGUGAGGGAUGACGGCCUUCGGGUUGUAAACCUCUUUCAAUAGGGACGAAGCGCAAGUGACGGUACCUAUAGAAGAAGCACCGGCCAACUACGUG